ensembl:lncRNA
ACUGCUCUGAAAAUGUCUCCGCUUGAGUAUUCCACAUGCACAAGAAAUUUAUCACCUCUUUCCACUUGCCAGAAAGAUUAAUUAUUACUCAAAUCUCUUGAAUUUCUCUCAAUAAAACUGGCAUCUAAGGGCUUGGUAUGCUAUCAAUGUGCUUUAAAGUAAGUCUAUAAUAGAGAUUAGUACCUCUUGUGCAAUAUUGUAUGCAUUGCAUUUUGUUACAUUUAUUAUACAAAUUGAAAUGAAUAAUAAUAUGCAGUUUAACAUCCCAUGAAUAUUUUUUUAGUAUUCUUCAGCGGUAGUUAAUAUGCUAACCAACUUUACUGAAAGGCAUACAGAUGUGGAAGGAGUCUAUCUGGGGACUUUAAUUAUCACCUUGUCAAAUUCAAAUUAUUAUCUUGUUCUCUUGGUUAAUAAAUGAAGACAGGAAAGAAAAAGAAAAGACAAAGAAACGGAAACACUGCCCACCACAGUCAUUAUUCUGGAGGAGUUGCAGGAUAUUCAACUUGUUUGGAAAUGGAGGGUCCAGGGGCAUGGGUCAAGGGCAGAGGCAUCUCAGCUUUCAUCCUGGGACUUCAGGACACAUUCUGGGUCAUGAUGAAGGGUAAGCCUGCCAGGCAUUAAGUGUCUGAGUUCUGAGGAUCUUGUUCACCAGAGGGGCAGACAGUUCAUGGCUGCUGUUCUUUCUAAUAUAGUCAUUAGAAAAUGAGUCAUAAAGCCAUAAUUUGUAAAUGUACAUUAGAUUUAUUUUAUCCAUUCCCAUUAAUGAACAAAGUUUUUUACUACCAUGCUUUAUGGUUCAUUUAUUUAGCUUAAUGUCCUCAUUUGCAGAGAUUUGUUUUUAAUCACUGAGAAGAUUAAAGUCAAAACUUAAAUUAAAAAUGUAAUUUUUUAUAAUCUGCUUCAUUGUUAAAAGUACAUACAGUGUUCCUUUAUGCGUGCUGAUAAUUAUGCAUUGUACUAUUCUAUGUGUAGACACCCUAUAGUCUCAAUUAAAUGUUAUAACUACUUAAUGAAAGGCAACAGGGAUUUCUCAGUCAGUAAUUAUAACAAUAACCCAGAAUCAAAACUCUCGAUCCAUAUUCAGACUGCAUAAUAAGGUAAGAAAUGAAAUGGUUGGCCAUUAUGUCUCUAAGAGACCUUUUUGUGACAGAAGACUAAUUGUGACAUGAUGAUAAUUUCCCAUAGAUGAUGCUGUAAAAGUAUGAAGUCAGUCCCUGCCCCUCAUACAAUAUUUCAUUUUUCAGAUUCAUCAAACCACUGUUUUGUGGUGGUAGGGGGAAUGCUUCCAAUGUGAAAGAGUGGAGCACACCAUUUAAAAGAAGGGUAGCGAUGGAGGGAAAAGAAAUUUCUGAAAUGAUCACAGAAAUAACAUGCAUUCAAGAAACAACAAAGGAGAAAAACAAUGAAAGUGGGAGUGCAUAUUUUACUGCAGCCCGAGGAUUUCAGUAGCUGAUGCAUUCACAGAAAGUCUCUUACAGUCUUACUGUCUUUUACUACAAUGCAAAUUUAUUCUGCCUGAGUAAUAACUACCACAAUACUGUCAUUCCCCAAUUACGUUGAUAUAGUCAGUCACACACUGCUGAAAUAAAGAGUCAGAAGCAGGAAAUAUGAUGUUUUUU